CGGGAAGAGCUCAACUUUGUAAUCUGGCUGUUUGACAGUCCGAGUUGUAGUCUCGAGAAACGUGAUCCGCGCCGGACCUUAGCCAUGUCUGUUGGAAUACAGUGUCAAAGAGGGUGAGAAUCCCGUACAUACUAAGGACGCCCGUGUGCAUUGUGAUUCGUUUUCAAA
rnacentral:rRNA from 1 species